AGUGGGAUAGCUGGGUCAAAUGGUGGUUCCAUUCCCACUUUUCCAAGGAAUCUCCAUACUACUUUCCAGAUUGGUCACACCAAUUUACAGUCCCACCAGCAAU
rnacentral:pre_miRNA from 1 species